CGUGCUUAACACAUGCAAGUCGAACGGUGAAGCCCAGCUUGCUGGGUGGAUCAGUGGCGAACGGGUGAGUAACACGUGAGCAACCUACCCCUGACUCUGGGAUAAGCGCUGGAAACGGCGUCUAAUACUGGAUAUGUGACUCGACCGCAUGGUCUGUGUCUGGAAAGAAUUUCGGUUGGGGAUGGGCUCGCGGCCUAUCAGCUUGUUGGUGAGGUAAUGGCUCACCAAGGCGUCGACGGGUAGCCGGCCUGAGAGGGUGACCGGCCACACUGGGACUGAGACACGGCCCAGACUCCUACGGGAGGCAGCAGUGGGGAAUAUUGCACAAUGGGCGCAAGCCUGAUGCAGCAACGCCGCGUGAGGGAUGACGGCCUUCGGGUUGUAAACCUCUUUUAGCAGGGAAGAAGCGAAAGUGACGGUACCUGCAGAAAAAGCGCCGGCUAACUACGUGCCAGCAGCCGCGGUAAUACGUAGGGCGCAAGCGUUAUCCGGAAUUAUUGGGCGUAAAGAGCUCGUAGGCGGUUUGUCGCGUCUGCUGUGAAAUCCGGAGGCUCAACCUCCGGCCUGCAGUGGGUACGGGCAGACUAGAGUGCGGUAGGGGAGAUUGGAAUUCCUGGUGUAGCGGUGGAAUGCGCAGAUAUCAGGAGGAACACCGAUGGCGAAGGCAGAUCUCUGGGCCGUAACUGACGCUGAGGAGCGAAAGGGUGGGGAGCAAACAGGCUUAGAUACCCUGGUAGUCCACCCCGUAAACGUUGGGAACUAGUUGUG
rnacentral:rRNA from 1 species